rnacentral:rRNA from 1 species
CGUUGUUCGGAAUCAUUGGGCGUAAAGGGCGUGUAGGUGGUCUGUUAAGUCAUGUGUGAAAGCCCUCAGCUCAACUGGGGAAGUGCGCAUGAAACUGACAGGCUAGAGUACCGAAGAGGAAGGUGGAAUUCCCGGUGUAGCAGUGAAAUGCGUAGAUUAUCGAGAGGAACACCAGUGGCGAAGGCGAGUCCCUGGACAACACCUGACACUGAGGCACGAAAGCUAGGGGAGCAAACAGG